AAUGAUAGAAAAAAUAAAAUCGCACACAGCCUUCAUACAGUUUCACAUGGAGCUGAUGAGCUGCUGUACGCAGAUGGACACCGGACUGGUGGACGUUGUUUUCUGAUCCAGUCAGUCGUUAUUGAACAUUCAGCGGAUUUUCAUAAUUUAUCUCAUAUUUUCAAUCUCUGGGCUCCACCACAUCUGUCUUCACUCCAUCUUUAUUUCCCUUCUUUCACCCCGUCCCUUGUGUCCUGGGUUCAUCCCCUACCUUCUCUCACAUUACUCAGUCCUCAUCCUGUAUCUCAUCAUUACCAUUCUGGUUCCUGCUCUGUCCUCCUCCUCCUCCCCCUAAGUCCCUGUUCAGUCCCGUCUCCGUCUCACACAUCAGAUAGACAGAAAGUGUGUGUCGUGUUAAAUGGGACACGGGCAUUCUGUACUCAUCGAAGGCAUUUAUUUUCCACAUAACAAUAAUAAUUCCAUCUCGUUAACAGCUAACUGUAAUUACGCAAAAGAGAGGAAAAGAAAACCAAAUGUACACUGUGUUUCGUCUAAGCGUUUAUACAAAACCGGGAAUGCGAUGCCUGUGGCGUGUCUGCGAGCAGGGAACAGAAAAAAAGCCCUUUUUACAACUUUUCAUUGUGACGGUCCGCGCUGUGCGCUCGAGUCUCUUAUAACUUCGCGUGUGUGUGUGCGCGCACGCGGGCGUGUCGGAGGUCCAGCAACAGGUGGAAAGCAGCGCCGGCGAGGUCCAUCGUGCUCCGCUUUGUCGGAUGUGCUGCUGCUGAUGGAGACGUGUACACGAAAUCAAAGGUUAAAAAUAAAAGUUAGGAAAUUAAACACGAGGGUGAACACGACGAAACAAAAGCUUGAUAAACUACACGGGAAUUUUUUUUUUAAACAUACAGUCACUUGAUAUUUAAUAUAAUACUAAAUAAAGACAAUUCCAUUCAAAUUGUUUAAAAUAAAAAUCAAGGGUCGUCAUUUACUUUUAACACACAAGUCAUGAUAAUACCAGAGAUAUGGACGUCUUGUGAUGCAAGAAAAAAAAAAGAUUCAAUAAAACAAUGUACAAAACCAAAAGAUUUCCAAAAACAAUUAACCCACCGAUGCAAAUGUGUAUAUGAUUAAAUAAAGCGUAAAAUACUUCACUGCAGGUGAAUAAAAAAAAUGCCCCCUUUAUGAAAAAGAGUAAACCGCUGGCGCUGAACACGCACACAUCUGUCUGACGCACACAUCUGUCUGACGCCGGAUUUUAGUUACAAAGUGCAUAAAAAGCGAAACGCUAAAAAGUAAAAGAUUUCUGAGUGCCAGCGAGCAGAACAAUCAGACGAGUGCUGAAUUAAAAAUCCAGGGGGGAAAAGUGUCGUGUUUUUAAGCGUCGAAGUUUAAAGACGAGAACAUUUCUGGGGAAAAUACAAAAUUUCCACUCGCUCAAUUAGAGGAUUCGUUUUUUUCCCCUCAAAUCUGAUAUGCUUCAUUUUUUUCUUUUAUAAACUUUUACACAUUUUAUUUAUGACUCGAUUUGAGAGAUAAAAAAAAAAAAUCACAAUCAAUAAUAAUCCUCGUGUAAGUGAUAUGCUGAAGAUAUGCUGCUUCAUCAUUGUUUGCUCUGAUACUCGGGGGCACGUCUUCUGAUAAAUUGAUCAUAAAUUAAAGAGAAAUUUUCACUUAUGUUUAAUUAAAUCAUUUGUUUUACCAAAAAUGUUUUAAUGUAGCUGAAGCACAUUACAAGCUCACGAUGAAUCAGUCUGAGUAUGAAGAAGAGAAUCAUUAAAUAAAUUAUCUUACGCUGAGAAAAGAAAUAAAUUGGUAUGAGACGCCUUUAAGAGCGAGUGAUUUACGUUCAGAAGAUGAACCAGCCAUUCGUGCUGGAUAGGCACAAUAUCAUUGUGUGUGUGUGUGUGUGUGUGUUUAUAUAUAAUGUUCGUAUAUGUGUAUAUAAAAAGGUUUUCACGACUACACUUGUUCGCACCCAAACAACCUCUGUACAAAAACUAAACCAUGGGGAUGGCUGUUAAAAAGGAAUAAUUAUUAUUAAAAAAUUGGGAAUAUCAAGAGGAUAAACACAAUCUCAACCAAAAAUUAUGGCAGCAGCAGCAAACGAUAAUGAAGAGGGGAAAAAAAAAAAGGUUUUGCAUACACCAGUUUUAAAACGAGAAGGAAUUGAUAAAGUUGGCGUCGACGCUCUGAGAGUUCACACACGUCCACGGCAGAGGGUGUGUUUUAUAUUUAUAUUUAUAUAUAAUAUGCUCCGUGUUGUGUGAUUGGCGUUUGGAGUAAACACUGUCCUCGUGUGUGUGUGUGUGUGUGUGUGUGUGUGUGUGUGUGUGAGAGAGAGAGAGAGAGAGAGAGAGAGAGAGAGAGAGAGAGAGAGAUACAUAUACAUAUAUAUAUAUA